CCUACGGGUGGCACCAUUGGGGAAUCUUAGACAAUGGGGGCAACCCUGAUCUAGCUAUGCCGCGUGAGUGAUGAAGGCCUUAGGGUUGUAAAGCUCUUUCAGCUGGGAAGAUAAUGACGGUACCAGCAGAAGAAGCCCCGGCUAACUCAGUGCCAGCAGCCGCGGUAAUACGGAGGGGGCUAGCGUUGUUCGGAAUUACUGGGCGUAAAGCGCACGUAGGCGGACUGGAAAGUCAGAGGUGAAAUCCCAGGGCUCAACCUUGGAACUGCCUUUGAAACUAUCAGUCUGGAGUUCGAGAGAGGUGAGUGGUAUUCCGAGUGUAGAGGUGAAAUUAGUAGAUAUUCGGAGGAACACCAGUGGCGAAGGCGGCUCACUGGCUCGAUACUGACGCUGAGGUGCGAAAGCGUGGGGAGCAAACAGGAUUAGAUACCCUUGUAGUC
rnacentral:rRNA from 1 species